rnacentral:rRNA from 1 species
CGCAGCCUGAUGCGCCAUGCCGCGUGUGUGAAGAAGGCCUUCGGGUUGUAAAGCACUUUCAGUCGUGAGGAAGGUGGUGUAGUUAAUAGCUGCAUUAUUUGACGUUAGCGACAGAAGAAGCACCGGCUAACUCCGUGCCAGCAGCCGCGGUAAUACGGAGGGUGCGAGCGUUAAUCGGAAUUACUGGGCGUAAAGCGCAUGCAGGUGGUUUGUUAAGUCAGAUGUGAAAGCCCGGGGCUCAACCUCGGAAUAGCAUUUGAAACUGGCAGACUAGAGUACUGUAGAGGGGGGUAGAAUUUCAGGUGUAGCGGUGAAAUGCGUAGAGAUCUGAAGGAAUACCGGUGGCGAAGGCGGCCCCCUGGACAGAUACUGACACUCAGAUGCGAAAGCGUGGGGAGCAAACAGGAUUAGAUACCCUGGUAGUCCACGCCGUAAACGAUGUCUACUUGGAGGUUGUGGCCUUGAGCCGUGGCUUUCGGAGCUAACGCGUUAAGUAGACCGCCUGGGGAGUACGGUCGCAAGAUUAAAACUCAAAUGAAUUGACGGGGGCCCGCACAAGCGGUGGAGCAUGUGGUUUAAUUCGAUGCAACGCGAAGAACCUUACCUACUCUUGACAUCCAGAGAACUUUCCAGAGAUGGAUUGGUGCCUUCGGGAACUCUGAGACAGGUGCUGCAUGGCUGUCGUCAGCUCGUGUUGUGAAAUGUUGGGUUAAGUCCCGCAACGAGCGCAACCCUUAUCCUUGUUUGCCAGCGAGUAAUGUCGGGAACUCCAGGGAGACUGCCGGUGAUAAACCGGAGGAAGGUGGGGACGACGUCAAGUCAUCAUGGCCCUUACGAGUAGGGCUACACACGUGCUACAAUGGCGCAUACAGAGGGCAGCCAACUUGCGAAAGUGAGCGAAUCCCAAAAAGUGCGUCGUAGUCCGGAUUGGAGUCUGCAACUCGACUCCAUGAAGUCGGAAUCGCUAGUAAUCGUGGAUCAGAAUGCCACGGUGAAUACGUUCCCGGGCCUUGUACACACCGCCCGUCACACCAUGGGGAGUGGGCUGCAAAAGAAGUAGGUAGUUUAACCUUCGGGAGGACGCUUACCACUUUGUGGUUCAUGACUGGGUG